ACGCUGGCGGCAUGCCUAACACAUGCAAGUCGAACGAGACCUUCGGGUCUAGUGGCGCACGGGUGCGUAACGCGUGGGAAUCUGCCCCUCGGUUCGGAACAACAGUUAGAAAUGACUGCUAAUACCGGAUAAUGACGAAAGUCCAAAGAUUUAUCGCCGAGGGAUGAGCCCGCGUAGGAUUAGCUUGUUGGUGGGGUAAUGGCCCACCAAGGCGACGAUCCUUAGCUGGUCUGAGAGGAUGAUCAGCCACACUGGGACUGAGACACGGCCCAGACCCCUACGGGAGGCAGCAGUGGGGAAUAUUGGACAAUGGGCGAAAGCCUGAUCCAGCAAUGCCGCGUGAGUGAUGAAGGCCUUAGGGUUGUAAAGCUCUUUUACCAGGGAUGAUAAUGACAGUACCUGGAGAAUAAGCUCCGGCUAACUCCGUG
rnacentral:rRNA from 1 species